UAUCACGAGAAUGCAAUUGAU
rnacentral:piRNA from 1 species